rnacentral:lncRNA from 1 species
UUACCAUAUGGCUUCCAUUUUCUGUUUAUUGUACUGCCCUGCUCUAGACGGCGGACACACUCUACUACUCAAAGCAGGGAACAGCGAGUGAACCUGGGCCCAGAAGGGCCCUGCAUGACCUAUUAUCAAUUAAGUCAUUUUUUAAAGAAGGCACAUAAUUUUUUUUUUAAAAAUGAAUGUACCAAAACCAACUUCAGUAGGUUACUGAGACAUUUCCGUACUGAAAUUCUUAUAUAGACCCAGAGCAGACCCAUAGUAUCCUCACUGGAUUAAAGGCACCUUUUGUUCUCUUCUCCUAGCGCAGAUGGCCGUGAUCAAGUUAAAUGACGUCCAGUUUCACUUUGAUGUUCAUGGCAGCCAGCUCAGCUACAAAGUACCGGAAAACAUACGGCACAGAGACAGUGUCGAUGGAGUCACUGCGGCC